rnacentral:ncRNA from 1 species
AUGAUAGAGGCGCGGUUACCAAGAGUACCCUCCGGCCAUCCGGCAGACACCGGGGAGGGGAAAGGGGUCGCCGCCGAAGGGCCGUGUAGCUGUCUGGCGCGCGGUUCCUGGGCCGUCGGAGAAGAUCCGGGGGACUGUCACGAAAGUGGAGCGCUGUC